GCUAUAUAUCAUUACACAGAUAUUUAUCAUAUGAAAUUAUUUAUAUUUUUAACUUUUUCCUACAUCCAAAUAGUUAACAUAAUAUGUUACACGCAUUGGCUUGUAACUGAUAAACACAAAAUACAUGCUCAAGCUGACUCAAUAUAUGCAUUAAAACGUCCACAUGAUUUAGUAACUUUUUUGGAGCAAGAGAGGCGUGCUUCAAAAAUGGAAUAUUUAAAAAGAGAAUUAUUGCAUCAGAAACUUAAUUUAGAUAUAUCUAAUGAUGUUAAAGAUCUGAGUGAUAUUGAUACCUGGUUCUAUAAAAAAGAUGCUGAUUGUCAAUUAGCUGCUAAGCCAUUGGUUCAGUUAGACUUAUUUGCAAGCACUCUCAUAACUCCAGAAUCUCUUGGAUUAGACCAGAAUGAUUUUAUACCAUUUCAUUCUGUUACCAAAACACCUACCAAGCCAGAAUGCUCCAAAAUUAUAGAUCUUCCAUAUAAUGAUUUAUCUUUUGAUUAUCUUGAGUCAAUCAAAAAACGUAAUACAUUAACCAUUCCGCCAGAAAAUUCGAUAAAAAUAGUUUUGCCGUUUGUUGAAAGUAUAGCCGAAUACGGACAUCUUAUAAAUGAAGCAUUGUUUAAGAAUCAAACUUCCUGGAUACUCUACGACAUGGCCACUUUUUAUUGGAGGAUCAAAGGCGAAGCAUCCAAAGCAAUCGAAUGUGUCAGACGCUCUCUUAGCUUCUCUUCUAAUCAGUACAAGCCAAUAGCUAUGACAAACUUAGCCAACAUUUUAAGCCGGGCCGGUUACCCGGAAGACGCAUUGCACGUCCUUUUAACAAUAAAAAACUUGUCAAGACCUUUCAACGAUUUUCUAGUCCCGUAUAUGCUUGGAAACCUAUAUGCUCUCAUGACUAAUUACACGGAAUCGAUCGAAGCGUUCAGGGAAACACUGAAACUGAGGCCUGGAUUCAAACCGGCUAUACAACGCCUGCACGCCGUUUUAUGUCACAAUAAGCUCAUACAGGCACUCGAGGACCAACAUAAUUCUCUACAACAAACUCUCAAUAAACUUCAAGAAUUUCAAAAAAAGCACGAAACGUGGACAAAAUUGUUCGAAAAAAUUGGCACCGAAAUCGUUCCUUUAGAUAUCAGGCUCAAACAGCUGUCUGUGUACGAGGAUUUAAUCACGUCCAACCCAGAGGAUUACGAUAUGAAAUCAUUCAAUUCAAAAUCCCUGGAAUUCCCAAAGCAUGAAUCCGACGACGAAGAUACUGGAGGCUUCAAUUACAAACGCACUAUUAAAUCUAAUGCUAAGGGUCGUUUAAAUAAGCUCGAACAAGAGAAUGAGGAUGACGAGGACAUUGCAAAUGGGAAGGUGGAAAGUAAAGAAAAUGACCAGUAUCUCUCGCCAGAACCAAAAUUUACGGUCGAAACGACUAAAUGGCACAGAGCUAAAAGCAACAAAGAAUGGUAUAUUCCCCCAGCUUCGCUUUCUUUACUCACGGAUCGUAGGGUAGUUAUAGAAGCCGAACUUAAACGUUUACGGAAAGCGUCAUCUCGCGAUCAUACAACUUUUCUGGACAAGGUGGAAUGCUCCCAACUUUUCAAACACUUUUUACCUAUUCAGAAUAGAGACUAUUUCAGGAGUUACAAGUUGACGAACGUAAUGGACACGGAAGAAAGUGAGCAAGAUGAAAAAAGAAACUACCACAACGCUAACAGGGAAGAUGACGACUUUCUCGGCGUGGCUGCCGGCUAUAUGGCUCCCGAAAGCAAAGGAUGGACGGAAACCUUAGCAUUGUUGAAUCACAAGCAAGGUUUGGCUUUACCUCUCACAACCUCUUUCGAAGAUUCCGAAGCAUCGUUAAACAAUCAGGAAUUAGAGAUAGACCCAGAGCCCUAUCACCAUUCCUUUCCAUGGAAAUCACCAGUGUGUUCCGAUUUUGGGAAGAUAGAUUGUAGACCAUCUCAAUGCCACCAGAAUCUGACAAAAUCGCUGAGCGAUAAAAUAGAGGCCUACGAGAAAUGGACAAUGGGCCAGCCUUAUAUCGAUAUAGACCUUUCUUUGUCUAAAGAUCUACUCAGUUACAUCGAUACAGAUUAUGAACUCAACGAAGAGGAAGUGGGGCAACGUAUAUUGACCGCUUUGAAAAUGGGAAACGAAAAGGAUUGGUCUCUUUACAACCUAGCAGCUUUGUAUUGGAGAAUCAUGGGCAAUGUUAGCCAAUCACUAGAAUGCCUCCACAGAUCUUUCUACUACUCUCCUCUAAAAUACAGGAUAGUUCCGUUAUUCAAUAUGGCCGCAUUACUAGCCAAAAAUCUUAGGGCUUAUAAUCAUAGUCUAACUCUCCUUAAAGAGGCAUCUACCUUAGAUAAGUAUGACACGAAGGUGACCAUGUUGAUGGCCCAUCUGACUUACCUAACGGGCAAUAUGACGGCAGCUUCCCAUUACUACCAAGAAACAUUAUUUUUAGACGCUCCCCUCAAUUCUCCUCAUUCCAUCAACAAAGAAGCCCUCAUAGGAUUCGAGCUGGUAGGCUGUAGAUUAGCUUUCCCUGAUCAGUACAAAGAUUUGGAACAAUCACAUACAUUAAACGAAACAAUUUACGACGAAUCGCUCGAAAAUGGCGAAUACAGCGAUUAUUUUGAUUACGAUGACCGCAUGCUCAAUUUCGAAACUUUCGAAAGUUUCAACCUGACCGAGGAGAGUGCCGAUGAAAAUGUUAACAUGAAUACUCACCACUUUAACAACGUUGACGAAGAUAAAAAUCGUGUUAAAUCUAAAGAAGAUUUUGUACCAAUACUGCCAGUGGCCGAAAAGUUGUUCGAUCUACCUUCUGACACUAACGAUCCUAUUCACCAAAGAUUAUUGGACGAAACAUUACCCAUUGUGCUCAAACCGAAAGAUGUCGAAAUAUUAAAUCCGUUUCUUCAUUACAACAUACCCAAAUACGAUAUUGGUUUGGAGAAUGAUGAUUGCCUUAAUGCGAUAGCUAUCGAUUUUUCCAAUGUCCCGAGCACUUGGCUUUCCAUACCCCAAGAACUGAUCGAUUCAUCUAUCUCUCAAAAUUUGGUAGACGAGUGCGUCAAAUUUAUCAAAAUGGACUCUCCGCAUCCUCCUUCGCAUUUGAAUGCGGAGCCCAUCUGCCACCUCUCGAAGGCGCAUUUCAAUAAGCACCAUAGAGCUUCACAAAAUGGGGGAGAAACAGAUUUGCUCCAUAUUUUAAACGCGCUCGUUAGAGAAGCCCGCCGUAAAGAAAUGCUAGCGGCGUCUAACAACGAGAAAGGCUCGCUAGUCCAAAUGAGAUCGCUAAACUCGGAGACCGGUUUGAUUCCGAUUCUCAAAAAAGUAAUUUCCGCAAAACUGACCAGAGCCUUGGCCGACGCUGACAGCGUCACGGAUGAGUCAUUACUUUCUGAUUCGGAGAAGGAAAAGUUUACGAAUAAAGCCAUAAUGGAGGUAUUGAAAAGAGGUCUCUCUAUUGACCAACCAACAACGUCUUGGGUCGUACCCGCUUUAACCUCUUUGUACUGGAGAGCUAACGGCAACACAUCCCAAGCCCUCGCAUGCCUAUACCUUUCUUUAUCUGCUGCUCCUGAUAAAUUUAAAGCUUCCUCAUUGGUUAGUUUGGCUAACUUGUGCCACAAAACCCAAAAUUACUCUUUAGCUAUAUUCGCUAUCAAAAAGGCUUUGCUAUAUUCGCCCAAGGCUAUCAUUUCCCAUUUUACUAUGGCUAAUAUGCUAGCAGCGCAAGCGCGUUUCCUAGGUCGCAUUUAUAGUGGCAUCCGAUACACGAUUUAACAGCUGAUCGAUUUUUUUAAAAUCCGUUCAUGAUAUAGAUUUUUGUAUAUUAGAAUUAAUAUACCUUCGAUUAUUAUCAUGAAUAGUUGGUCGAAUAACAUUAUGGGGGGAAAAUAUUCGAGUAUAGAAAUUGGAAAACCGGAAAUGUAUUCCAUUCCAGCAUACGUAUAAUGCCUACCCUUAGAAUUUCAGACAAAAUUUCGCCAUUUUUUUUAAAAUUUUUAUGAAAAAUGUAUAUAAAUAAGAGAAUACUUUAUAAGUUCUGGGCAAAAAUUUUCUUAAAUUUGCAUCACAGUAUGGAAGAGGCUUUAUGCAUGUUGGAAUAUAGAUGACUGAGUAAAGAGAUGCGCCUUGAUGGAAGUAGGAGGAACAGACUUCGAGGAAAAUCUGAGAUUACGUGGGUAAAGAUGAUAGCGGCUGAUAUGAGGAAAAUGAAUCUUACAAAUAUUAUAGGGGAAUCUAGCUUAUUCGGGUAAACCUGGAAAUGGCCAUUAAACGAAGAAGAAGAAGGAUAUAUACAUUAGCGGUCAAAUCAGAUAUUUUUCAAAUUCAAAUCCUUUCAUUAAGUGAUUUUUAUAAUUGAAAGAUUCCAAAUCCCUCAUGGAUUCCGUCACCUAAUACUAGGGCAACUUAGUUUACACAUGCCCUAAUACACUUCCUAUUAAAAACAAAUCAAACAUUUCAAAAAAAACGCGCUAAAAUAUUGCUUAAACUCAUAUUUGUUUUUUUAUAUAUAUUUUGAGGAUUAGAACGAACAUAUAUUCCAAGUAUGUGUUUUAAAAAAACAAACUAUUCUUUAACUUUCAGACAAUGCUAUAGUUCAAUAUAUAUAUAUAAAAAUUCGGCUUGAAAACGGAUCUUCAGAAAAAAAUAUUCUCAUAUUGGUUCGGCUCGUGUUGGACCCGGAAAAGAAUAGGUCUGAAUGCAGAGUUCCAGUAGGAACAUCAUUAACGUAUAGAUCGAAAAUAACAAUUUGAGAGGAGUGCUUUACAUAGGCGAUUUUGAAAACGCGCUUUUAUACUACGCCUCGACCAUUUCGUUGCAAGAUUUCACUCCCGCUCGAGUCAAAUUGCAAACCAUUCUUUGUUUCCACGUGGAUAGAAUAGCGGUCUCAUUGAAAAUGCUC